CUCUACAAACCCUAUCCAAACCAAACACACACAAAGCCAAACAACUCUUUGCCUCUCCUUCUCGAUGACAGACCGACAGUCACACCGGCCGGCCACCGGCUUUCUUUUGUUUCUCCGACACACCACCCACACCCCCACAACUCUCCCUCGUUCUUUCAUCUCCGGCGGCAAACCGGAGCAACGCCGGCUGUCUUCUCCGGCCGCACAACCCUCACACACACCCCACCUUGCAGAGUUAACAGAGAGAGACGGAGCUGAGAGAGAGAUUGGUGAGAGAGAGAGAGAGAGAUAGCGAAGGCGAGAUUUCCGGCGUCAGUGCCGCCGUUCACGGCGGCGGAGACGGUGGGUUUCAGAUGAAAAGUUUGAUCUCGUUGAUUUUGCAAGCAGCAAUGUUGCAAUAGUGUCAAUAUUCAGAGAUAAUGUCACACAUGUGAUUGCCACCACAGAUUCAAAAGGUGCCGGCACAAGAACAUAUAAACUGUUAAUGGCCAAAUGGUCAAAACUUUGGCUGUCUUUUUCAUUUUUUGGAUAUUGUUAAAUUGAAUUUUUAUGGAUGGUUUUUUAGAUGAUUUUUUGGUACUGUAAUGGAUUAAAGUUUUGGCA